GAUGAACGCUGGCGGCGUGCCUAAUACAUGCAAGUCGAGCGAACAGACGAGGAGCGUGCUCCUCUGACGUUAGCGGCGGACGGGUGAGUAACACGUGGAUCACCUUCCUAUAAGACGUGGAUAACUUCGGGAAACCGGAGCUAAUACUGCAUAAUAUGUUGAACCGCAUGGUUUAAAAGUUAAAGGAGGUCUUGCCGUAUCUAAUAGAUGGAUUCGCGCUGGAUUGGCUAGUGGGUAAGGUAACGGCUCACCAAGGCAACGAUGCGUAGCCGACCUGAGAGGGUGAUCGGCCACACUGGAACUGAGACACGGUCCAGACUCCUACGGGAGGCAGCAGUAGGGAAUCUUCCGCAAUGGGCGAAAGCCUGACGGAGCAACGCCGCGUGAGUGAAGAAGGUCUUCGGAUCGUAAAACUCUGUUAUUAGGGAAGAACAAAUGUGUAAGUAACUAUGCACGUCUUGACGGUACCUAAUCAGAAAGCCACGGCUAACUACGUG
rnacentral:rRNA from 1 species